rnacentral:tRNA from 1 species
GAGAUGUUAGUAAAUUAAUUACACCACUUUGUCAAAAUGGUAUAAUGAGCUAACACCUCAUACAUCUCA